ensembl:lncRNA
GUGGUGUAUCUAUAUUUGGUUUAAAUAUAAGCGCUACAUAUACAUGUAAAUACAAGCAUGAGCUAGCCUGCCAUGUAAGAACCAGAAUAUGACAAUAGACUCGAAGCUUCCUGGGUGUUGGUGCUUGGUCCCAUCUCCUUCCUUUCCCCAAGCCUCUUUUGAAGAUGAUGUGUGUCCACAUUUGCUGAGAGGUAGGUGAUCACUGGGGCCACUUUUGCCUCCUUCAGUUCUAACGAGUGAACCUGCGUAGUACGGAAAGACUUGGGCUCUGUAUCCCAGGGAUGAGUUGGGAAUUUGUGCUGGGAUCACUUGCCUGUUCUUUUUCCACUCCUCAUCCUCAGCUCACUGUUGGAGGUCCUGACCAUCCUCAUGAAUGCAUCAGAGCUUUGUAAAACUUCUUCGCCAUAAUGAGUGCAGGAAUCAGCCGUGCUGUAGCAGGAGGGUUCUCCCUGGCACCCAGAAGCCCAAGCUGCUAGUGUGAGGAAGCUACACAGUGGGAUGAUGGAGAAAUUACACACUUGAUGAAGGGGAUCAGCGGAGGCCUUCCUGCAGGCUGAGUCCUGCACCCAAACCUACCAGACACACAACGCCAGGGUGAGCCCCAAGUUGGAGAAACCAUAACAUAAGGGUAGCCUGAGUCCGUGUGUCACUGGUCAAAAAAGGGCUGUCAUGGAGAGUUGCCCAACAGGGAGCAUCCGCAGCGGACUUGCGUGAAGAACACAUAAACUCUUUGUGUGUUGUCACUGAGAUACUAGAACUGUUUCAGCAUGAACCUAAUAUAAGCAUUAAAGAACAAAACAAAGCAGAAUAAAGCCAAAGGAAAUGAAAUGAAGGAGAAAAUAAAAGAGCAGAAAUGGAUGCAAUGGAAAACAAAGAAGCAGCAGAAAGUCUCCACGAUGGUACAGCUGUUCUUCCCUGAACUCUAGGAAAGCCAUCAGCUGCAUCAGGAAAACAGCAGGGCAAAAGGGCAGAGCCAGAGGCCAAAAGUCAGAGGGUAAAGGUAAAAAGGGCAAGAAGAAGAAAGGCCCACAGAGCAGGGGGCAGGGUUUCCUGGGGUGCUCAGAACAAGGGCUCCCCGUGCAAGGGAAAAAAACAAAAGCAGAGCAUUGUCGUUUGUGUUCCCCAAGGAUUUUCCACUGCCAAGAACAGAAAUCAAUCCCAUUCCCCAUAUAAUUAGUGUAGUCCACAUUUUCAGUUAAUUCUGCGAGAGUGCUUUUGAUAAAAGGGACCAGAUGUAUUCACGGAGGAAACACAACCAGAAGGGGGCCCAGUAAGCCUCAUUAUUAACUGUGAUUUGCAAAGGAUUGGUUUAUUUGUUAAUUUAUUUAUGCAUGCAGUCAUGCAUCUGAUAUUUUUUCCUUUUAAUCUUUUUUUCUUUGUUGAACUGCAUCAUAGUUUAACAUCUCCUGCUACUUAUCUUUUCAGUGUAGGUUCCUGGAAGAGCAGAAUUCCUGCCUGUCUUCAUAGGUCAAGAAAGUAGAACCCCGCAGACUCAGAUGAGCCCAGUGUCACCAUCAAAGGACAUGCAAAGUGUUACCAUGCAAAGGACACUACUGUAAAACCACACUCCCACAAUCUCACACAAUCGCUACUGUGUUGGUUGUCUCUAAACCACAGCAAUAAUUGUUCUCAGGAGUGCCUUCACUCACCCCUUGGGAUGAAGGCUCUUAGAAAUAUAUACUGUCUACUCAACAGCUUUCAUAUUUACACAUUUGGCUUUCUCAGGUCCAAAAUGCUCUCCUUCAAUGAACGUCAUAAAACCGAAAUGGUUCCCUGUCUUACCUAAGUUUAUAGGAGUGUUAUUUUGCCCCUACUCUCCAACUACUCAUUUUUCUAUGCCUAAUUCGAAACUGCCUGUAUGAGUCUUAAAUGAGUUUUCUGGAGACCUCUGAGAGAGCCUGUGUUCUCAGCAGUUGCUGUAUUCCUGGAACCAAAGACGCUGCUGUUGAUGACCUGGGUUUACUCUUCCUAUAAAUAUGCUUGAGUUCUGGCACCUCGUAUAAUGUUUUCCUUUAAAAUGAGAGCCAAUAUAAUGAAACUCUAUAUGUAGUAGUCUGCAAAAAAAAAUGUAAUACAGGAUUUUUUACAUGAAACUUUAAAAAUUUUUUCUAACUGUACAGUCACUAAUUUUUCCAUCUAGUUACUUCAAUAAUAUUUGCUCUGCUGCCUACCAUGUGAGUUAGACAGACUCUGCUUUAGAAAGGUUAAUAAUCCAAUCUGGAGAGCCAAACAUCUAACAGGAUGAGUCAAUGUUACAGAAAAACAGGAGAGACCAAUUAAUUAUGACCACAGUAGGAUCAAAGAGAGCCUCAUAGGGAUGAAUCUGAGACUCACCCCAGUGCCUGGAUCUGGAAGGAUGAAUCCAUUCUCAGGAUUUAAGAAUCCAAAACUAAGUGCUAAGUAAGGGGUGUGAGAAGAGUCUUGGCUACAUUUAACUAGUUGUUAGUUAAAACCAACACCCAAACCAAUCUUACACCUCGACAUGUGCAUUUUAUGUUGUCUAAAGGCUAUAAUUCGAUUAACAUCAUUGAACACACUCUAAGGGGGCAUUUCAGUGGCAUCCCUACAAAGAGGAGACAUCUGAAAAAUGCACUUCCAAGUAAAAUGUACUACUGUAAACAAGAUUAGCUUCGAUCUUCUUCCAUUUAUUUAAAUGCCCUAAGAGCAAAAGGAGAAGCAAAUCUUAAAAGGUCUUUUCUUCUUCAAAGAUCAGGUCCUAGUUUCUGUUGUU